rnacentral:lncRNA from 1 species
UUCGAGGUAGGAGUCGACUCCUGUGAGGUAUGGUGCUGGGUGCAGAUGCAGUGUGGCUCUGGAUAGCACCUUAUGGACAGUUGUGUCCCCAAGGAAGGAUGAGAAUAGCUACUGAAUUGUUUCUUCCCAGGUCCUAAAGAGCAAGCCUAACUCAAGCCAUUGGCACACAGGCAUUAGACAGAAAGCUGGAAGUUGAAAUGGUGGAGUCCAACUUGCCUGGACCAGCUUAAUGGUUCUGCUCCUGGUAACGUUUUUAUCCAUGGAUGACUUGCUUGGGUAUGGAGAGUCGGCUUGACUACACUGUGUGGAGCAAGUUUUAAAGAAGCAAAGGACUCAGAAUUCAUGAUUGAAGAAAUGCAGGCAGACCUGUUAUCCUAAACUAGGGUUUUUAAUGACCACAACAAGCAAGCAUGCAGCUUACUGCUUGAAAGGGUCUUGCCUCACCCAAGCUAGAGUGCAGUGGCCUUUGAAGCUUACUACAGCCUCAAACUUCUGGGCUCAAGUGAUCCUCAGCCUCCCAGUGGUCUUUGUAGACUGCCUGAUGGAGUCUCAUGGCACAAGAAGA